UGGCGACCAUAGCGUUUUGGACCCACCUGAACCCAUUCCGAACUCAGAAGUGAAACGAAAUAGCGUCGAUGGUAGUGUGGGGCUUCCCCAUGUGAGAGUAGAACAUCGCCAGGCU
rnacentral:rRNA from 1 species